UGCUCGUUUGGGUUGGGCGUCGGCUAACCAUGAGGAGAGUAAGGGUACCUUUCUUGGCUGAUCCCUUUCGCUGUAUGGCGUGCUCGUUUGGGUUGGGCGUCGGCUAAGAGUGCUCAGAGCGUGGAUUAACUCCAGUCUCCUAUCAGGUGUGUAUUUUAUCGCUACUCUAGUUGUAGGAUGGCUACUUCGGGUCGCGAUCGGCCAAAAGGGGUCAUGUGGGCCUACGGGCCCAAUUGGAUAAGUUGUUUGAUUGUGUAGUAAAUAUUGGACUAGGCUAGGUGAAUAUCAUAUUUGUGGCUAGAUUUGGGCUAAAAGGGCCACACGAGCGUGUGGGCCCAUUUGGGCCGAGAAUAGGCUUUAGGCCCAUUCGUAUUAUUAUCCCUGUUUAGAAUACUUUAGUUUACCAAAUUACUGAAAUGCCCUCGAUUUGUAGAAUUACCAUUUUACCCUCAGUUUAUAAAAUUACCAUUUUACCCUCGAUUGUGAAAUUACUAAAAUACCCCUGUAGGAUAGAAUUACCAAAAUACCCCUAGUUUGUAAAAUUACCAAAAUACCCUUAGUUUGUAAAAUUACCGAAAUACCACUGGUUUGUGAAAUUACCGAAAUACCCUCAAUUUCUAAAAUUACCAAAAUACCCCUGAUUUACAAAAUUAUAGAAAUACCCUUGACUUUCUAAAAAUUAUAGAAAUACCAUUGGUUUACAAAAUUACUGAAAUACCCUUAGUUUGUAGAUUUACCAAAACACCCUUGUAGGAUGAAAUGACUAAAAUACCCUUAAUAGGUAAAAAAACCGUAAAGCCCCUGUAGGGUAAAGUGACCGUAAUACCCUUAUAUGGUAAAAUGACGAAUACGCCUUUAUGUUCCAUAUGACUGAUGUGUUUAGGAUUUACAUAUAUUGAUAUUGGAUUAGUUAAGUUUGAGUGACAGGUGGUGGUUAUCGUAGGUGAUUGAUUAUGGAAACGUUUCAACUUCAACCCAUAACAAGUGUGUACUAACCCUCGUAGUAGCUUAGAUUAAUAUCUGUUGAGAAGCCGAAAUGCUAAAAUACCGGCAUUUCGGGAACUUGUAAUGUUGCGUGUGGGUAUAGAUGCGAUAAAUACUAUAAGAUCGGUGUUUGGAUCGAUGGAACGGGUAAGAACUCAAUUUUGUGCACGAUGGUAAGUUGGGCCUCAAUGGGCAGGAAUUGGGCCACAUGGGCUUUUUGGCCCAUUUGGGUAAAAUUGAUAGAAAAUGGAAUUUGGAAAAGUUGCAUGUUAACACGGUUAGUAUUGUUGUAAAAUUUGGGUUAGGCAGGCUUAGUGGGCUAAAUCAGCAUUCGUAGGGCCCAUUAGGGGUUUUGGGCCCAAAAGCCUGAAUUUGAUAAAGUGGGUUAAAGAUCAUUGUUUAAACACUCGAAAAUAUUGACAAUUGUAAUGAACAUGGAAAACCCUGAUUUUUGGUAAAAUUACAAAAAUACCCUUAUAAUAUGAAAAAUGACUGUUUUGCCCUUGUGGGCAAGUGACUGACUUGGACUGUGUGGUUGACGGAUUUGAUUGUGAAUAUAUGUUGGUGACAUGAAUGACUUGACUGUGAUUGUUUGAUUCAAAUAUGGGCAUGACAUUCUGCAUACAUGACAUAUUGCAUGGGAUAUGGGUUAUAUUGAUGGAGGAAGUGCUAAAAGGGCUCUGCCCCAGUUUACCGAAAAGGGCUUUGCCCCAGUUUAUCAUAAAGGGCUUUGCCCCAGUUAUUAAAAGAGGCUAGGCCUCCAGUUAUAUGAUAAAGCAGCUAUGCUGCCAGUGGAGAGUUUGGUUGGGUGGGUUGAGUUAUUCCCCACAUGGUGUGUUGGUUGGUACGGGUGGAGAGUAGCGGAUGGUGGGUUGAGUAGUCUCCCCAAAUGGGCUUGCAUACGUUCAUUGAUAUUACAUGUGAUAUUGAAAUGGGCCUAUGGGCCAUACCGCUUACAGUAAAGGCUUCGGCCAGUGAUAUGAUUUAUGAAAAGGCUUCGGCCCAGUGAUAUGAUUUAUGAAAAGGCUUCGGCCCAGUAUAUGUCGAAACUGAAUUAGGGCUUAGGCCCAUAUUGCUACUAUUUAAGGGCUAAGGCCCAGACUGUACUGUUACUGAAUAGGGCUUUGACCCAAAUUAUAUUGACACUGUGUUAUUCACUAUUUGUUUGUUGUUGGGGAUUACACACUGAGUUUUCGUAAACUCACCCCGUUUCUAACUGUGCAGGUAAUCCCUAAGCUUAGAUGGUUUGGAGCUGCGAGGGACUCAGAGAUGACCACACUACUGUUUCUGUUUCUUUUAAUUGCAAUAAGUAGCCG
rnacentral:lncRNA from 1 species